rnacentral:rRNA from 1 species
UACAGAGGUCCCGAGCGUUGUUCGGAUUCACUGGGCGUAAAGGGUGCGUAGGCGGUCGGGUAAGUCUGAUGUGAAAUCUCACAGCUUAACUGUGAAACUGCAUUGGAUACUAUUCGGCUUGAGGUCUGGAGGGGGGACUGGAAUUCUCGGUGUAGCAGUGAAAUGCGUAGAUAUCAAGUGGAACACCAGUGGCGAAGGCGAGUCUCUG